rnacentral:rRNA from 1 species
GACGUAGGGCGCGAGCGUUGUCCGGAUUUAUUGGGCGUAAAGAGCUCGUAGGCGGCUUGUUGCGUCGACUGUGAAAACCCGCGGCUUAACUGCGGGCUUGCAGUUGAUACGGGCAGGCUAGAGUUCGGUAGGGGGAGACUGGAAUUCCUGGUGUAGCGGUGAAAUGCGCAGAUAUCAGGAGGAACACCGGUGGCGAAGGCGGGUCUCUGGGCCGAUACUGACGCUGAGGAGCGAAAGCGUGGGGAGCGAACAGG